GACAGAGGGGGCAAGCGUUGUCCGGACUGACUGGGCGUAAAGCGCGCGCAGGCGGUCAGAGGCGUCGGUGCUCAAAGUCCACCGCUUAACGGUGGGAGGCGUGCCGAUACGCUCUGACUGGAGGGCGGGCGAGGGUGGUGGAAUUGCCGGUGUAGUGGUGAAAUGCGUAGAUAUCGGGAGGAACACCAGUGGCGAAGGCGACUUCCUGGCCUGUUCUUGACGCUGAGGCGCGAAAGCUAGGGUAGCAAACGGG
rnacentral:rRNA from 1 species